rnacentral:rRNA from 1 species
AUACGUAGGGUGCGAGCGUUGUCCGGAAUUACUGGGCGUAAAGAGCUCGUAGGUGGUUUGUCGCGUCGUCUGUGAAAUUCCGGGGCUUAACUCCGGGCGUGCAGGCGAUACGGGCAUAACUUGAGUACUGUAGGGGAGACUGGAAUUCCUGGUGUAGCGGUGAAAUGCGCAGAUAUCAGGAGGAACACCGGUGGCGAAGGCGGGUCUCUGGGCAGUAACUGGCGCUGAGGAGCGAAAGCAUGGGUAGCGAACAGGAUUAGAUACCCUGGCAGUCCAUGCCGUAAACGGUGGGCGCUAGGUGUAGGGGUCUUCCACGACUUCUGUACCGUAGCUAACGCAUUAAGCGCCCCGCCUGGGGAGUACGGCCGCAAGGCUAAAACUCAAAUGAAUUGACGGGG